GACGUAGGGCGCGAGCGUUGUCCGGAUUUAUUGGGCGUAAAGAGCUCGUAGGCGGUUUGUCGCGUCGAAUGUGAAAACCCGGGGCUCAACCCCGGGCCUGCAUUCGAUACGGGCAGACUAGAGUGUGGUAGGGGAGACUGGAAUUCCUGGUGUAGCGGUGGAAUGCGCAGAUAUCAGGAGGAACACCGGUGGCGAAGGCGGGUCUCUGGGUAGUAACUGACGCUGAGGAACGAAAGCGUGGGUAGCGAACAGG
rnacentral:rRNA from 1 species